UACGAAGGGGGCUAGCGUUGCUCGGAAUCACUGGGCGUAAAGGGUGCGUAGGCGGGUCUUUAAGUCAGGGGUGAAAUCCUGGAGCUCAACUCCAGAACUGCCUUUGAUACUGGCGAUCUCGAGUCCGGGAGAGGUGAGUGGAACUGCGAGUGUAGAGGUGAAAUUCGUAGAUAUUCGCAAGAACACCAGUGGCGAAGGCGGCUCACUGGCCCGAUACUGACGCUGAGGCACGAAAGCGUGGGGAGCAAACGGG
rnacentral:rRNA from 1 species